GUGCCAGCCGCCGCGGUAAUACGUAGGGUGCAAGCAUUAUCCGGAGUGACUGGGCGUAAAGAGUUGCGUAGGUGGUUUGUUAAGUGAAUAGUGAAAUCUGGCGGCUCAACCGUACAGACUAUUAUUCAAACUGGCAAACUCGAGAAUGGUAGAGGUAACUGGAAUUUCUAGUGUAGGAGUGAAAUCCGUAGAUAUUAGAAGGAACACCAAUGGCGUAGGCAGGUUACUGGACCAUUUCUGACACUGAGGCACGAAAGCGUGGGGAGCGAACCGGAUUAGAUACCCGGGUAGUCC
rnacentral:rRNA from 1 species